CACCUACUCCUUUCGUCCAGAAAUACUUGUCGGGGAAAUGGAUGUAUCUAGAUGUAUUUUAGUUCUAGAUAUAUCCGUUUUUAUUCAUUUAUCCGACAAGUAUUCCCAGACAAAGGGAGUAAUAU
rfam:Triticum aestivum genome assembly, contig: Triticum_aestivum_CS42_TGACv1_scaffold_529705_6DL